rnacentral:rRNA from 1 species
UACAGAGGGGGCAAGCGUUGUUCGGAAUUACUGGGCGUAAAGGGCGCGUAGGCGGCCUGCUAAGUCGAACGUGAAAUCCCCGAGCUCAACUCGGGAACUGCGUCCGAUACUGGCAGGCUUGAAUCCGGGAGAGGGAUGCGGAAUUCCAGGUAUAGCGGUGAAAUGCGUAGAUAUCUGGAGGAACACCGGUGGCGAAGGCGGCAUCCUGGACCGGCAUUGACGCUGAGGCGCGAAAGCCAGGGGAGCAAACGGG